GGAGAGGUGGCUGAGUGGUUUAAAGUGCUCGCUUGGAAAGCGUGUGUGCCGUAAGGUACCGCAGGUUCGAAUCCUGUCCUCUCCG
rnacentral:tRNA from 1 species